rnacentral:rRNA from 1 species
UACGUAGGAGGCAAGCGUUGUCCGGAAUCACUGGGCGUAAAGCGCGUGUAGGCGGAUCGCUAAGUCUGUGGUGAAAGCGCCUGGCUCAACCGGGCGAGGUCCAUGGAAACUAGCGGUCUGGAGGCCGGUAGAGGGGGGUGGAAUUCCAGGUGUAGCGGUGAAAUGCGUAGAUAUCUGGAGGAACACCGGUGGCGAAGGCGGCAUCCUGGACCAAUUCUGACGCUGAGGAGCGAAAGCCAGGGGAGCAAACGGG